CCCCCGCCCCUCCCCGCAGCGCGCAUGCGCGAGGCCCUGCCCUUAUAAGGCGCGGCCGGCGGCGCUGCCAGGGGUUCGCAUUCUCCCGCCUUCCCAGGCGCGCGCUCCCAUUGGCCCGGCGCGCGGCGGGGGCGGGAGCGCGCGCGGGGGGCGGAGCCUCCCAUAAAGGCGCCGCCGCCGCUUCCGCGCCCCGCGCGGAGAGUCCCGCGGGACAGCGCGGAAUGCUCCUGCCCGCAGUAAGAGCCACCUGAUUUACCUCUAAAGAAGAGCAAAGAGGACUUGGGAUGAGCUACUGUUUAGGGAAGCUGAGUGACAUUUUUAUCCUGAGAAAUCAUUUCAAGAGUAUUUUAAAUAAGGUAUCAACGAGCUUUGGCCUUUAAAAGCCACUCGCCAAACGGCCCAUCUCAAAAAUUUGACAGAGUAUCCAUGUCUUUCCCAUUCCCGUUGCGGAAUUUGUAUCAAAUGUUUACCACAACAAUUAUAGUAGGAAACAGAAGUUAAAUUACACUUUUUGACUAUAUAUAUAUAAGUAUAUAUAUAUUUAUACUACAAAUGUAUACAUCUAUACUAUAAAAUAUUGAUAUUUCAUCUCCACUUCUCCUGGGGAUAUUUUUCAGGUCUUUAGUACAUGAAUAAUAAUUGGUAAGCAUCAGGAAAAGAAAAUUAGUUUUGUCAAAUCUUGAAACAUCCUGCAGGGACCUGUAUAUUUUGCAUUGUUUCAUUUAUAUUUUAGUCAUACAAAAAGAUAUCCGGGGAAAAUGCAUAUGGUAAAUGCAGCAAAAAACUAACCAAACAAAGAAAAAUCAGAUUAUUGAAUUCAGAAAUAAAAUUGAAAAGAAGAAGUAAAUUCAAAUCCCCAAACUCCCUUCUGUCUUACAUUCCUACCGCUAGUUGAGUAGCUGGCACUAAAGGAGUACGCAGACUUACCUUGUAGAUAGCAUUUCAGGAUGGCAUAAUCUGGAGUAGUGGUGAAGCAGCAGCACAGGUUGCACAGAGGAGUUGCAUAAUCUCCAUUCUUGGAUAUUUUUCAAGCUCUCUGGAUAGGGCCUGACACAACCUGAUUUGGCUGUGAAGCUGUCUCUGCUUUGGUGGCCUCCCAGUGAUCCCAUCCAGACUCCUUUUUCCUGUGAUUCUGUCACUGUGUGGUCUAUGCCAAAUAGCUCCAUGGCCACUCGUACAGGAAAAUUAGUAUCUCACAUGAUGGCAGUCUGCAAGUGUUAUUUUCUUAAGACCCUAGUUCACAGAACUAUUUAAACAUUCCUACUUCCAAGUCACACAGCCCCUAGGUGAGGGGGUUUUCCAUGGCAGGGGUUUGCAUGUCUGUGUCCUAGCUGUUGAGUAAUUGUAGCUGCAAUCAGUCAGCUUUGCCCAAGUCAGCAAUGUGUUGGCAAGGUCAUAAAAAUGAAUGAAAACAAAGUUGUAGACAGUACUUUCAAAACAUCCUUCACUACCGUGAUGUCACUCUGGCCAAAAAAACAGGAAGUCUGUAAUUCUUUGUAUUCAUGUUCUUAAGAGGGCACCUUCAUUCUAAAAUUAACAGUUUUAAUUUACAGUGUAACACCUGUAAAACCAGCUGCCUUUUUUUUUUUUUUUUUUUUUUUUUCACUCUUACAGCUCAGGUUAAUGAAGCCUCAUUUAGAAGGUGGCAAUAACUUGGUUACCUUGGCUUCCAUUGGCAGUAACUCACUGCCUUUGGCACUUGGCUUCCAUUGGCACUUUACAGCAUUCAUUGCUGUCACUUCUGAGUAACUGAAGUAACUGAAGACUGAUUUUUUUUAUAUAAUAUUGACAAAUAACACUUACUGUACAGGCAAAAAGCACUACCUGUAUACUAGUGAAAAGAACUUGGAUUAAUAUAAUUGAUACAAUAUUAUUGAGAAAAUUGUUGGCUCUUUUGAGGGGUUGUGUUUCUGCUUAUAGUAAGUUUGAAUCGGUGUAACAUUCUGCCAUCUCAUGAAGAAAUAAAGCUAUGAAAUAGGAGAUUCCCCUACAGAGCACUAAAAAUAAAGCAAAAAUGUUCAUUCAAAAUUAACAUGUUAUUUAAAAUUAAAUGUUAAUUACUACUAAGUAUGAAUUUAAACCAAACAUUUUGGCAUAACUUUUUUUUUUUCUCACAAGAAACUGUGUGCACUGUCAGUAAAGAAAGAGCCAAGAAAAUAAUUCAUAACAUUUGUUAUGAACAAGCAGGUGGUUUCUGUGCUAAAAGCUUGUUGUUUGUCACUAUGGGGGAAACAGUAUCUAAGGUACACCAGAGAAUAGCUAAUGACUUCUGAAUUUAAAUGUUGUCUGCUGUUUCAAACACUAAAAUAAAAAUGUAAAUUUUGGGGAACCUUAAGAACACAGCAAUGUCACUGGAUCAGAUUUUCCUAGGAAAAAAGAAGCCUUAGCUUGCUGCAUGUUUGAAGCCUCAGAGGAAAGGAAAGCAAGAAUGGCAGAUUGAAUUCUCCACUUUGCUCAUGCCUCAAAAUUGCUAGGAGCAAGCACAGGAGAAUUCGGAUGUAUUGGGCUCAAGUUUGCAGGUUGAUAGACAGCUCUGAGAACCAACUAUGUCCCUUCUUUCACUGGCUGUAUGUGAGAAGAAUCUGGACAUAGGAACAGGCAUGGUAGAGCAAAACUUUGCUAAUUGUAGAGAUGGACAGGCAGAACAAUCAUAUAUUUCCACCAACCCUCUGCUAAUGUGAAACUGUCAGCUUGAGGUUGAUAUACAUAGGGAUGUGAUAUUAGUGCGUAUUGCAUCAAACAUAUCUCAGUAGCUGUCCACCAAGGGUAAGUAACACAGGGAGCUCCUCAUAUUCAGUUUGUUCAGAUUUAUUUAUAAAAUAAAUAAAUCCCAGUAAAAGCUGAAAUAAUCGAAAUAAAUCUAAACUAAUCCCAGUUUUCAGGGAGAAUAGAUACCAACAGUUUUUAUUUCUUUGUAAAUUACCAGUAUAGGUUUUUAAAGUUCCAACCAGAGUAUUCCCCUUCUUUUUGUGAAAGAUGAUCUCAUUAUGUUACAGAUUUUACUAAGAUAAAAUUAUUUCCAGAAAUUUAAUCUAACUUUUAUUUUCCCCAGUUGAAGUUUUGCCUUUCAUCUUUCAUAAUCCUGAUUUUACAUCCUCAAAAUGCAGAUGAUUCCUGUCCUGUUUCACAUAAUAAUACUACUGUGUUUGACCAGCUUCUCACAGGUGCUAUGGAGCAUGCUUGGCUGGCAUAGGAACUGCAGCUUCUUAGAGGAGGGGGACACUGCUGAUCAGCUGAGGGGCAGCAGCUGGCCACUGCAAUGAGAGCACCACAUGGAUCAUUUCCUGUCAUUUACAACUUGGAUUGUCCACUUGUGUCUCAAGUAACACUUCCCUGUCUUUGUCUCCAGGAAAUUGCUUUCAGACAGUUACUCCUCUUCCUCAGCUACUAUUGCAAAGCAGAAAUUAUCAGUGGAUUUGGUUUCCAGCUCUAGAACCAAUCACCAUGUGAAAAAACCUUGGGAGGUGUGCAGAUGAUGUUCAGGGAAGCCAAGUUAGAAAUGGUAACAAGGCAAUCUUACUGCAUUAGCAACCAUCUUUCUUGUCUUACCUCAGCCCUGAACCCUGAUUAUUUUUCAUUCUAGUAAGUGGAAGAAUCCAUAUGAAUUUAAGGGAAAAUAACUAUGACUUUUUUUGCAUAAUAAAAGAUUUUUUGUGUGUUCUUGCCUGAGGUACCUAUUGA